rnacentral:rRNA from 1 species
AUUGAACGCUGGCGGCAUGCCUUACACAUGCAAGUCGAACGGCAGCACGGGUGCUUGCACCUGGUGGCGAGUGGCGAACGGGUGAGUAUACAUCGGAAAGUACCUUAUCGUGGGGGAUAACGCAGCGAAAGUUGCGCUAAUACCGCAUACGCCCUGAGGGGGAAAGCGGGGGACCGUAAGGCCUCGCGCGAUUAGAGCGGCCGAUGUCUGAUUAGCUUGUUGGUGAGGUAAAAGCGCACCAAGGCGAUGAUCAGUAGCUGGUCUGAGAGGACGAUCAGCCACACUGGGACUGAGACACGGCCCAGACUCCUACGGGAGGCAGCAGUGGGGAAUUUUGGACAAUGGGGGCAACCCUGAUCCAGCAAUGCCGCGUGAGUGAAGAAGGCCUUCGGGUUGUAAAGCUCUUUUGUCAGGGAAGAAACAGCAGCUCUAACACAGUCUGCGAAUGACGGUACCUGAAGAAUAAGCACCGGCUAACUACGUGCCAGCCGCCGCCGUAA